rnacentral:rRNA from 1 species
AUUGAACGCUGGCGGCAUGCUUUACACAUGCAAGUCGAGCGGCAGCGCGGCCUUCGGGCUGGCGGCGAGCGGCGAACGGGUGAGUAAUGCAUCGGAACAUGCCCAGUCGUGGGGGAUAACACUUCGAAAGAAGUGCUAAUACCGCAUACGUCCUGAGGGGGAAAGCGGGGGAUCGCAAGACUUCGCGCGAUUGGAGUGGCCGAUGUCCGAUUAGCUAGUUGGUGGGGUAAAGGCCUACCAAGGCGACGAUCUGUAGCUGGUCUGAGAGGAUGAUCAGCCACACUGGGACUGAGACACGGCCCAGACUCCUACGGGAGGCAGCAGUGGGGAAUUUUGGACAAUGGGGGCAACCCUGAUCCAGCCAUGCCGCGUGAGUGAAGAAGGCCUUCGGGUUGUAAAGCUCUUUCGGCAGGAACGAAACGUUGGGCUCUAACAUAGUCCGCUAAUGACGGUACCUGAAGAAGAAGCACCGGCUAACUACGUG